UGUGGAUGAGCUGGAGAGGAUCAGGAGGAGCAUGCUGCCCUAUGGGGACAGCAUGGAUAGAAUAGAAAAGGACCGCCGCCAGGGCAUGGCACCCGCGGCGGGAGCAGACCUGGACAAAAUUGGGCUGCACAGUGACAGCCAGGAGGAGCUCUGGAUGUUCGUGAGGAAGAAGCUAAUGAUGGAACAGGAAAAUGGAAAUCUCCGAGGAAGCCCUGGCCCUAAAGGUAUUGCCAUGGAUUGAACCUUGUCUCUGAUUCAUUUCCUGCAGUUGGAAGUGAGUUUUCUGGGUAGAUUAGAAACCUUUUUCUUUGUUCUAAAUGGAAGGAUGAAGAGCUGAAUGAUCUUAUGGUAUCUGUUGGGAGGUAUCUGUUGGUUUUAGAGUCAGAAUAUCUUAGAUAAGGCAGCAUCUAAGAGAAGCCC
rnacentral:sRNA from 1 species